UGCGUAGGCUGCGCUAUAAGUCGGGUGUGAAAUCCCUCAGCUCAACUGAGGAACUGCGCCCGAUACUGUAGUGCUUGAGGAGGAUAGAGGUGAGCGGAACUAGCAGUGGAGCGGUGAAAUGCGUUGAUAUUGCUGGGAACACCCGUGGCGAAAGCGGCUCACUGGGUCCUUUCUGACGCUGAGGCACGAAAGCUAGGGGAGCGAACGGGAUUAGAUACCCCGGUAGUCCUAGCCGUAAACGAUGAGCACUAGAUCGGGGAGACCUCCACAUCUUCCCGAUCGUAGCGAAAGUGUUAAGUGCUCCGCCUGGGGAGUAUGGUCGCAAGGCUGAA
rnacentral:rRNA from 1 species